ACCUGGUUGGAUUUGUGGCUAUUUUUCUAAGUGUGUGCAUAUUUGUGUUACAAGUAUGGAAAUCUCUAAUGAAUAGACAAGAGGCACAAAUCCAACCAGGUAAAAGGAAUGAGAAAAAUCGAAAAACAAUGUCACACAAUCUUGCCUGGUUGAUGAAAUUUGAUCACUAAAUUAACAGUUCAACAACCAUGUCCCCGCCCUUUGAACAUCAUUGAAGUUUUCUGCCAAAUUCUUUUUCUCAGCUUCUAUCCCUGGUCCAUUGCUUGGCCAUGCAAGAAUUGGUGUUCACCACUUUCACCAUCAGAUGCAUCUGCAAGCCUUGCAAUUGCCUCGACAAGUGCCUGUUCAUGCUCUUUCAGCAUCCUUUUUGCCUUCUCAAGUUCAUGGGGAUCAGGAUGACUUAAAGCAAAAACCUUCUCCACCUCCUGAACUAGUGUCUCUGUGUUGAAUAAUUCAAUGUCAUCAGAAACUUUCUUUGUAAAACCAUUCUGUGUUGGCAGGAAUUCUCUCCUGGAUUGACCCUUUAUGGAUCCCCUCCCUCUUCCAACACUGGGAUAGCCAGCAUGGUUCAUGGAUUUCUUGAUUCCACGGCCCGGCCCACCAUGGACACCACAAUGAGAAAUUCUUGGAUCCUCACCUUCCCAUUGGAUAUCCUCUGGAGAUAUCUCUUUGAGGUUAACCCAUUCCCAUGUCUCAUUAGCUGUACUUAUAUCAUAGACUAGAGCAUGUCGGCCCUCAACAGGGUUAUAAUCGGUUAUGACAGCCUCAUAAAAGUUGUUGUCCUCCGGCCAUCUUGUCCACACUUUCCUUCCAAUUAAUGGAUCAGAAGUAGUUGCUUCAGCAUGUUCAUUUGCAGCAAGGGCUCCAGAAGCGAUGCGGCUAACAUAAUGAUGGUUUCCAGCAGGACCUGUAGAAGGGUACUGCAUAUACUUCAUUGAAGGCAUUGGUUGACCCUGCGUUUGGGAUGUCUUCUGUUUUUUACGGGAGCCUGAAACACUUGGACUGGGUACAAGAUCAUGAACUGGCUGUGAUGCACUGCUCCUGGCAGCUUGGUGUCCACCUGCCUGUCUCCACUCCCUGAUCCUUCUAAUGAUCUCAUCCCCAUUAACUCUGGUCAGAAGCUCUCUGUGUUGAUCAUCUGAUACUCUGAGCUCUUUCCUAAGUUCUGUUAUUAAACCCUCCUUCUCCCAAGAAAUGGCAUCAGACUGAGCCUUAAAAGCACGCAAUACAGCACUGUAAGCUUCUUGUUCAAGUUGACGAAUUUGAGCCAUGGCUCCAUUAUUGCCAAUUGCAAUGCUCUAGAAUAUGUGGUAGAACCAACAGCAGAUCUUCCGUUUCCUACAAUUCUUUCUCCUUUUGGAAUUGUAUUUCGAUGUGAUGGAGGCAGAUCAUCAUCAGUACCGCUACUAUCUGAAAGUUCAUAGUCCAUAAGAAGAACCACCAGAAGGCUGCUCAGUUUCUAAAGCAUUGCAAUUGGCAAUAAUGGAGCCAUACAGAUACAGAUGAAGAUAUGAAGAGAGAGAGAGAGAGAGAGAGAGAGAGAAGGUGGACUUGUGAAGAGAUUUAUGGGAUCUCAGUAUUGAUGAAGGUGCAGAAAGUGAGAGGGGUUUUGCAGAGAGGAGGGAGACUAAUCGGUAGGAGCGAGGUACAAGCCGAG
rnacentral:misc_RNA from 1 species